AGCCUGAACGCUGGCGGCGUGGCUAAGACAUGCAAGUCGUACGGUGUAGCAAUACACAGUGGCGAACGGGAGAGUAAUGAAUCGCUAAUGUGCCCCGGACUCUGAGAUAGCUAUCCGAAAGGGUAGGUAAUACCAGAUGACAUCACCUUAUCGCAUGAUAGGGUGCUCAAAGGUCCGCCGGUCUGGGAGCAGGCGAUUUCGUAUCAGCUAGUUGGUGAGGUAACGGCUCACCAAGGCGACGACGCGUAGCCGGACUGAGAGGUUGGCCGGCCUCAUUGGGACUGAGACACUGCCCAGACUCCUACGGGGGGCUGCAGUAACGAAUCUUCCGCAAUGCACGAAAGUGUGACGGAGCGACGCCGCGUGGAGGACGAAGUUCUUCGGAAUGUAAACUCCUGUCAGGGGUAAGAAGUUCUGAUCUACCCCAGAGGAGGCACGGCUAACCCUGCGCAGCAGCCGCGGU
rnacentral:rRNA from 1 species